CAUAUGUAUGUGCCGCUGCGGGUUGCAUACAGAGUGCUCGCAUGUGUCUAGGUGCGAUUGGGUGCCAACAACUACAUGUUGUCAAGCGAAGCGGUUUUUUUUCUUUAAUUUGAGAUAUCCACGUGGCUUAAAUGCAAAACUAAGUUUAGCAAAUGGAAUUGAGUUGUGUGGCAUUUCAGUAUGCCCUUAUAAAGUUUACUAAAAUCGAAAGAUGAAAUUGAGCAAUAUAAACUACAGAGGAGGUGGAGGCGACAUUGCAAAUGAUACUUGAGCUGGCAUAUAUAUGUUACUUGCACUCCAUAGAUUUAGGCAUGGGUGGCCUCUGGAAGCUAUAUAGCACCAACCACCAACAGAUCCAGGCCCAGCUUCCUGGUCUCACCGACUCGCUGAAAAUCUAUAAAACAACAUGUUAAUAAGUAGCUACCGAUA
rnacentral:lncRNA from 1 species